UAGGCCCUACGGGGCGCAGCAGUGGGGAAUAUUGCGCAAUGGGGGAAACCCUGACGCAGCAACGCCGCGUGAGUGAGGAAGUAUCUCGGUAUGUAAAGCUCUAUCAGCGGGGAAGAAGGAAGACGGUACCCGACUAAGAAGCCCCGGCUAACUACGUGCCAGCAGCCGCGGUAAUACGUAGGGGGCGAGCGUUAUCCGGAUUUACUGGGUGUAAAGGGAGCGGAGACGGCGGAGCAAGUCUGAAGUGAAAGCCCGUGGCUCAACCGCGGAACCGCUUUGGAA
rnacentral:rRNA from 1 species